UUUCUAAACAACAAUGAGCUUGAUGAGA
rnacentral:piRNA from 1 species